rnacentral:rRNA from 1 species
UACGUAAGUGGCGAGCGUUAUCCGGAAUUACUGGGCGUAAAGCGUGCGUAGGCGGUUUAGUGUGUGGGAAUUGAAAGCCCGGGGCUCAACUCCGGAUCCGGUUCCCAAACUGCUAGACUCGAGAGUAUCAGAGGAGAGCGGAAUUCCCGGUGUAGCGGUAAUAUGCGUAGAUAUCGGGAGGAACACCAGUGGCGAAGGCGGCUCUCUGGGGUAUUUCUGACGCUGAGACGCGAAAGCGUGGGGAGCGAACAGG